UUGCUUCAGCAGCACAUAUACUAAAAUUGGAAUGAUACAAAGAUCAGCAUGGCGCCUGCACAGGGAGGACAAGCAAAGUCAUGAAGUUUUCCAUAUUUUU
rnacentral:snRNA from 1 species